rnacentral:rRNA from 1 species
AGUGAACGCUGGCGGUAGGCCUAACACAUGCCAGUCGAACGGCAGCACAGUAAGAGCUUGCUCUUACGGGUGGCGAGUGGCGGACGGGUGAGGAAUACAUCGGAAUCUACUUUUUCGUGGGGGAUAACGUAGGGAAACUUACGCUAAUACCGCAUACGACCUACGGGUGAAAGCAGGGGAUCUUCGGACCUUGCGCGAUUGAAUGAGCCGAUGUCGGAUUAGCUCGUUGGCGGGGUAAAGGCCCACCAAGGCGCCGAUCCGUAGCUGGUCUGAGAGGAUGAUCGGCCACACUGGAACUGGGACACGGUCCAGACUCCUACGGGAGGCAGCAGUGGGGAAUAUUGGACAAGGGGCGCAAGCCUGAUCCAGCCAUACCGCGUGGGUGAAGAAGGCCUUCGGGUUGUAAAGCCCUUUUGUUGGGAAAGAAAAGCAGCAGGUUAAUACCCCGCUGUUCUGACGGUACCCAAAGAAUAAGCACCGGCUAACCUCGUG